rnacentral:lncRNA from 1 species
UGAGAGUCAGAGAAUAAGGGAGAGCUGUAGCCCCUGGAGAGGAGUAGAACUAAGGAGUGGGCCUAAAAGACUGAGAAGAGUGUUGAGAGGAAUUGCCCAAGACACUCCUGUAGAACACUAACCACUGGAGAGGGAUGGUCCACUGGGUGACGAAAGGUCCAGACUGAGAGCUGGGAAAUCUACAGCAGCCAGAGGCUUUCAGCUGACAUUUUCUGGAAGCUAUGCUGAUGAUGCUUGUAAGAUUGAGGGAAGUGCUCUAAGGAGUGAGAAUAUUAUGCAGUAAUUAAUAAAAGAAGUUGAAAGGUGAGUAGGAGC